AAUUGAAUAAUUAAUUGUUGAUUAAUUUUUAUAGACACAACUUGAAGAUGAAAAAAAAUUUCUUGGAUUCAUGUCGUUACGAGUGACAAUAGUCUUUGCUUUCUAUUAAAAACAAAGAGAGAGACAGCUGAAUGAUGACGAGAAAUUAUAUGGAUAAAUGUCACGACAUUUAUUGUCACUAAAUUAUUUACAAAAAAAAUAACCACAGAUACAACAAAAGGAUGAGUGAGUAGGAAUUAAAUUGAAAAAUGCAAUUACAAGUGCCAAAAGUUUUGGCUUUAUCAAACAAGGACAGAUAUCAUUGAAUAUUAAAAGUUGAAUAAGUAUCGACAGAUAUCAAGGAAUUUUCAAUCCAAAAAUGUCUCGAGUGCAGAGGAUCAUGAAGGAAGAUAAUUGAUGUGAUUUUUAUUGCAUGUUGGCUUAUGUAAUGAUGAAUAAGUCAAAUAAACAAGAAAUAAUAUCAUGCAGCUGUUGAAAAUAAUUAAUUUAUUUAAAUUAAUUAUUGCCUGUUGUUUGAAUGGGCCAUUGAAUAUUAGGACUGUUGUUGGUGCUGGAGCAUAAUCAAGACAUCAAUCAGUGAAACACCAUUUUAUUAUAAAUUUAAUAAAAUGGUAUGAUAUGGAUAAUUUUAUUAUUAUUUUUUUUUAUUUGAUAAAUAAAUUAUAUUAUUGAUUGAAAAUGCAAUGCAUAAUUAUUUAAUUUACUUUGUACUGUUGUCAAUUGAAAUAGCUAUUUUCAGGCAAUAAUUAUUUAUUUAUUUUGUAAUGAUAAAAUGAUGAUUUUGUUGUUGUUUUUUUUUAAAUUUUAUUAUCAUUGUUUAAAAUAUCAAAAAAAAGAGUAAUUUAUUAAAUAUUUAACUGUCAAGUCUUUUUAUAAAAUGUAAUAUAAAAAU